AGUAAAUUGGUUAAGUUAGAAAGGGCGCACGGUGGAUGCCUUGGCACUAGGAGCCGAAGAAGGACGGGACUAACACCGAUAUGCUUUGGGGAGCUGUACGUAAGCGUUGAUCCAGAGAUUUCCGAAUGGGGGAACCCACUAUCUUUAGUCGGAUAGUAUCCUUACGUGAAUACAUAGCGUGAGGAAGGCAGACCCAGGGAACUGAAACAUCUAAGUACCUGGAGGAAGAGAAAGAAAAAUCGAUUUCCUGAGUAGCGGCGAGCGAAACGGAAAGAGCCCAAACCAAGAAGCUUGCUUCUUGGGGUUGUAGGACACUCUAUACGGAGUUACAAAAGAAAGUUAUAAAUGAAGCGGUCUGGAAAGGCCCGCCAAAGACGGUAACAGCCCGGUAGUUGAAAUGGCUUUCCCU
rnacentral:rRNA from 1 species